rnacentral:rRNA from 1 species
UACGUAGGAUGCGAGCGUUGUCCGGAAUUAUUGGGCGUAAAGAGAACGUAGGCGGUCAUCUAAGUUUGGUCUUAAAGACCGGGGCUCAACCCCGGGAAUGGAUCGAAAACUGGACGACUGGAGGAUGUCAGAGGAAAGUGGAAUUCCGAGUGUAGCGGUGAAAUGCGUAGAUAUUCGGAGGAACACCAGUGGCGAAAGCGACUUCUGGGGCAUUCCUGACGCUGAGGUUCGAAAGCUCGGGGAGCAAACAGG